GACGAACGCUGGCGGCGCGCCUAACACAUGCAAGUCGAACGAGCGAGAGAGAGCUUGCUUUCUCGAGCGAGUGGCGAACGGGUGAGUAACGCGUGAGGAACCUGCCUCAAAGAGGGGGACAACAGUUGGAAACGACUGCAAAUACCGCAUAAGCCCACGGCUCGGCAUCGAGCAGGGGGAAAAGGAGCAAUCCGCUUUGAGAUGGCCUCGCGUCCGAUUAGCUAGUUGGUGGGGUAACGGCCCACCAAGGCGACGAUCGGUAGCCGGACUGAGAGGUUGAACGGCCACAUUGGGACUGAGACACGGCCCAGACUCCUACGGGAGGCAGCAGUGGGGAAUAUUGCACAAUGGGGGAAACCCUGAUGCAGCGACGCCGCGUGGAGGAAGAAGGUCUUCGGAUUGUAAACUCCUGUUGUUGGGGAAGAUAAUGACGGUACCCAACAAGGAAGUGACGGCUAACUACGUG
rnacentral:rRNA from 1 species